GUCUCUGUGGCGCAAUUGGUUAGCGCGUUCGGCUGUUAACCGAAAGGUUGCUGGUUCAAGCUCAGCCAGGGACG
rnacentral:tRNA from 1 species